rnacentral:rRNA from 1 species
UGGGGAAUAUUGGACAAUGGGCGAAAGCCUGAUCCAGCCAUGCCGCGUGUGUGAAGAAGGUCUUCGGAUUGUAAAGCACUUUAAGUUGGGAGGAAGGGCAUUAACCUAAUACGUUAGUGUUUUGACGUUACCGACAGAAUAAGCACCGGCUAACUCUGUGCCAGCAGCCGCGGUAAUACAGAGGGUGCAAGCGUUAAUCGGAAUUACUGGGCGUAAAGCGCGCGUAGGUGGUUUGUUAAGUUGGAUGUGAAAUCCCCGGGCUCAACCUGGGAACUGCAUUCAAAAUUGACUGACUAGAGUAUGGUAGAGGGUGGUGGAAUUUCCUGUGUAGCGGUGAAAUGCGUAGAUAUAGGAAGGAACACCAGUGGCGAAGGCGACCACCUGGACUAAUACUGACACUGAGGUGCGAAAGCGUGGGGAGCAAACA